rnacentral:rRNA from 1 species
UACGUAGGGGGCAAGCGUUGUCCGGAUUUAUUGGGCGUAAAGAGCGUGUAGGCGGUCAGGUAGGUCCGUUGUGAAAACUCGAGGCUCAACCUCGAGACGCCGAUGGAAACCAUCUGACUAGAGUCCGGAAGAGGAGAGUGGAAUUCCUGGUGUAGCGGUGAAAUGCGCAGAUAUCAGGAGGAACACCGGUGGCGAAGGCGGCAUCCUGGACCAAUUCUGACGCUGAGGAGCGAAAGCCAGGGGAGCAAACGGG